AACCAACUGAAAGGAGGUGAUCCAGUGUCUCAUUGCUCGUGGCUGCGGACCGCGGAUGUGGCCGGGAUCUCCGUCUCCUGUUUCGGGGGCGCGAGCUAGCCGCUUGUCCGUCGGCAGCCGCCGCCAGACAAUGUGAAGGCCCUGGGGCAACCCGGGGCCUU
rnacentral:sRNA from 1 species